CCUUAGAGUUUGAUCCUGGCUCAGGAUGACCUCUGGGGGCAUGCCUAACACAUGCAAGUCGAACGGGGUUUAUAUAACAGAACUCUCCGGAGGGAAGAUAUAUAAACCUAGUGGCGGACGGGUGAGUAACGCGUGGGCAACCUGCCCUGUACCGGGGGACAACAGCCAGAAAUGGCUGCUAAUACCGCAUAAGCCUGCGGUGCCGCAUGGCACAGCAGGGAAAACCACGGUGGUACAGGAUGGGCCCGCGUCUGAUUAGUUAGUUGGCAGGGUAAAGGCCCACCAAGGUGACGAUCGGUAGCCGGACUGAGAGGUUGAACGGCCACAUUGGGACUGAGACACGGCCCAGACUCCUACGGGAGGCAGCAGUGGGGGAUAUUGCACAAUGGGGGAAACCCUGAUGCAGCAACGCCGCGUGAGUGACGAAGGUCUUCGGAUUGUAAAACUCUGUUCUUGGUGAAGAUAAUGACGGUAGCCAAGGAGAAAGCUCCGGCUAACUACGUGCCAGCAGCCGCGGUAAUACGUAGGGAGCGAGCGUUGUCCGGAAUUACUGGGUGUAAAGGGUGCGUAGGCGGCCUUGCAAGUCAGGCGUGAAAACCAUGGGCUCAACCCGUGGACUGCGUUUGAAACUGUGAGGCUUGAGUGAAGUAGAGGUAGGCGGAAUUCCCGGUGUAGCGGUGAAAUGCGUAGAGAUCGGGAGGAACACCAGUGGCGAAGGCGGCCUACUGGGCUUUAACUGACGCUGAGGCACGAAAGCAUGGGUAGCAAACAGGAUUAGAUACCCUGGUAGUCCAUGCCUUAAAC
rnacentral:rRNA from 1 species